UGCGUAGAGAUCGGAAGGAACAUCAGUGGCGAAGGCGGCCACCUGGCUUAAUACUGACGCUGAGGUGCGAAAGCGUGGGGAUCAAACAGGAUUAGAUACCCCGGUAGUCCACGCCGUAAACGAUGAGAACUAGCCGUUGGAUUCCUUAGAGGAUUUAGUGGCGCAGCUAACGCGAUAAGUUCUCCGCCUGGGGAGUACGGCCGCAAGGUUAAAACUCAAAUGAAUUGACGGGGGCCCGCACAAGCGGUGGAGUAUGUGGUUUAAUUCGACGCAACGCGAAAAACCUUACCAGGCCUUGACAUGCACGGAAUCCUGCAGAGAUGCGGGAGUGCCUUCGGGAACCGUGACACGGGUGCUGCAUGGCUGUCGUCAGCUCGUGUCGUGAGAUGUUGGGUUAAGUCCCGUAACGAGCGCAACCCUUGUCCUUAGUUGCCAGCACGUAAUGGUGGGAACUCUAAGGAGACUGCCGGUGACAAACCGGAGGAAGGCGGGGAUGACGUCAAGUCAUCAUGGCCCUUACGGCCUGGGCUACACACGUACUACAAUGG
rnacentral:rRNA from 1 species